rnacentral:tRNA from 1 species
AGGGGGCGGAGCGGCUGCGGCAGGCGCUCGGGCUCUGGCAGGGCCCGGCGUACGGCGAGUUCGCCGACCGGCCCUGGGCCGCCCCCGAGGCCGCCCGCC